GGCGCGUUCGUCUAGUGGCUUAGGACAUCGCCCUCUCAAGGCGGGGAUCGCGGGUUCUCCCAAAGGGAUUCCUUCGGAAGAAUCCCGCACGCGCUA
rfam:Ignavibacteria bacterium RIFOXYB2_FTLL_36_7 rifoxyb2_full_scaffold_51189, whole genome shotgun sequence.